AGAGUUUGAUUAUGGCUCAGAUUGAACGCUGGCGGCAGGCCUAACACAUGCAAGUCGAGCGGUAGCACAGGAGAGCUUGCUCUCCGGGUGACGAGCGGCGGACGGGUGAGUAAUGCCUAGGAAUCUGCCUGGUAGUGGGGGACAACGUUUCGAAAGGAACGCUAAUACCGCAUACGUCCUACGGGAGAAAGCAGGGGACCUUCGGGCCUUGCGCUAUCAGAUGAGCCUAGGUCGGAUUAGCUAGUUGGUGAGGUAAUGGCUCACCAAGGCGACGAUCAGUAGCUGGUCUGAGAGGACGACCAGCCACACUGGAACUGAGACACGGUCCAGACUCCUACGGGAGGCAGCAGUGGGGAAUUUUGGACAAUGGGCGCAAGCCUGAUCCAGCAAUGCCGCGUGAGUGAAGAAGGCCUUCGGGUUGUAAAGCUCUUUUGUCAGGGAAGAAACGGGAGUGGCUAAUAUCCAUUCCUAAUGACGGUACCUGAAGAAUAAGCACCGGCUAACUACGUGCCAGCAGCCGCGGUAA
rnacentral:rRNA from 1 species